rnacentral:rRNA from 1 species
ACUGAACGCUGGCGGCAUGCCUUACACAUGCAAGUCGAACGGCAGCACGGAGCUUGCUCUGGUGGCGAGUGGCGAACGGGUGAGUAGUAUAUCGGAACGUACCCUAGAGUGGGGGAUAACGUAGCGAAAGUUACGCUAAUACCGCAUACGAUCUAAGGAUGAAAGUGGGGGAUCGCAAGACCUCAUGCUCGUGGAGCGGCCGAUAUCUGAUUAGCUAGUUGGUAGGGUAAAAGCCUACCAAGGCAUCGAUCAGUAGCUGGUCUGAGAGGACGACCAGCCACACUGGAACCGAGACACGGUCCAGACUCCUACGGGAGGCAGCAGUGGGGAAUUUUGGACAAUGGGCGAAAGCCUGAUCCAGCAAUGCCGCGUGAGUGAAGAAGGCCUUCGGGUUGUAAAGCUCUUUUGUCAGGGAAGAAACGGUGAAAGCUAAUAUCUUUUGCUAAUGACGGUACCUGAAGAAUAAGCACCGGCUAACUACGUGCCAGCAGCCGCGGUAAUACGUAGGGUGCAAGCGUUAAUCGGAAUUACUGGGCGUAAAGCGUGCGCAGGCGGUUUUGUAAGUCUGAUGUGAAAUCCCCGGGCUCAACCUGGGAAUUGCAUUGGAGACUGCAAGGCUAGAAUCUGGCAGAGGGGGGUAGAAUUCCACGUGUAGCAGUGAAAUGCGUAGAUAUGUGGAGGAACACCGAUGGCGAAGGCAGCCCCCUGGGUCAAGAUUGACGCUCAUGCACGAAAGCGUGGGGAGCAAACAGGAUUAGAUACCCUGGUAGUCCGCGCCCUAAACGAUGUCUACUAGUUGUCGGGUCUUAAUUGACUUGGUAACGCAGCUAACGCGUGAAGUAGACCGCCUGGGGAGUACGGUCGCAAGAUUAAAACUCAAAGGAAUUGACGGGGACCCGCACAAGCGGUGGAUGAUGUGGAUUAAUUCGAUGCAACGCGAAAAACCUUACCUACCCUUGACAUGGCUGGAAUCCUUGAGAGAUCAGGGAGUGCUCGAAAGAGAACCAGUACACAGGUGCUGCAUGGCUGUCGUCAGCUCGUGUCGUGAGAUGUUGGGUUAAGUCCCGCAACGAGCGCAACCCUUGUCAUUAGUUGCUACGAAAGGGCACUCUAAUGAGACUGCCGGUGACAAACCGGAGGAAGGUGGGGAUGACGUCAGGUCCUCAUGGCCCUUAUGGGUAGGGCUUCACACGUCAUACAAUGGUACAUACAGAGCGCCGCCAACCCGCGAGGGGGAGCUAAUCGCAGAAAGUGUAUCGUAGUCCGGAUUGUAGUCUGCAACUCGACUGCAUGAAGUUGGAAUCGCUAGUAAUCGCGGAUCAGCAUGUCGCGGUGAAUACGUUCCCGGGUCU